ensembl:lncRNA
AGGGAAGUCUCUUUGAGCUACUCUUUAUGUCAGUGUGGUUCAUUCAGACUCUCUCCGAGCUCGUAUACACUCUGAAGCAAACCACAUCUGCGCAGGUACCAUAGAGAAGAGAAACACUCUACUCUUAAACACAGAAAGGCUGAAGGCUGACGGAGGAAAGAGGGUGCGCUUCACACAGGGCGGAGUCAGCACUGCUUCUGGACUCACUGGAUUGGACAAUUUACACCUGCAGUUCUGAUUUCAACUCUAAGUGGGCUGUCCAUAUUGGGCCAUCCUCAGCAGCAGCAAGUGGUUUCCAAGUGAUGAGCACUCCAACUAGAAGUAGGGCAUCAGGAUGGAUCAGGCAGGUCUGGAGAGCAGAAAGGGUCAGGAUCACUGGUAUCUUUUUGAAUAAAACCUUUUGUUAAUUUAAGGGCUAAAAACACACCCUGCUUAAACUUUCACUCAGUGUAAGAGAAUAAAAUGUACAACACGUUUUACAAUAUAUACCUGGACUUAAAACAAUAAACAUGCAAAUAAUAUUUGCAGGUAAACUUUUAAUAUUGUUAUGUGGGAACAAAAACAGAAAACCUAGUCUUUGGAUGAUGUUAGAAUUUAUUUCACUGUGAAGAUGCUCUCAAGAAAAAAAUAUUUUGUCAGAGAGAAACUUGUGGAUGUCAGCAGUGUGCAGAUCACCGUGGACAACUGGAAGGGGG